CAUUUGCUACUGGUAUCACUGAGACUCCAGAUGGUUGUGGAUCUGGUGUUACUUGAAGCAAUAGAACAGUGCUCGCAGCAGGAUUCAAUGGAACAGUAGUUCCUACUAUCGGUACAGUGAUAACAGCUUUUGGUAUCACCGGAACUCCAGUUGGUUGUGGAUCUGUUGUUGCUUGAGGCAAUGGAACAACAAUCACAGUAGGAUUUGAUGGAACAGUAGGAGCGACCAUCUGUAGAGUGGUAACAGCUUUUGGGACUACAUCACUCGCAUAAAUUGGGACUAAUUCUUUUCUUGGGCGACCUCUCCUCCUUGCCAUAACAAUCUCUGCUUAAAUUUACUUACCUAAGCAGAUGCAGUGGAGAAGAAGGUGAUGAAACAGGGAAGAAGAUGAUGAGAAAGUUAGAGAGAAGGCAGAGCUUCUCUCUCUAGCAUUAUUUCUAAUUGUACAAUUACUUAGUGGAGAAGAAGAUGAUGAAACGGGGAAGAAGAUAAUGAGAAGUUUAGAGAGAAGGCAGAGCUUCUCUCUCUUCCAUUGAGAGCAGAGUUUCGAAAAA
rnacentral:lncRNA from 1 species